ACCGCAGCUGCCUCUGAGGCCGGGCUCUCUUGAGCAAAAGCGUGGGGCAGCUCCACUGUGGCUCCCUGGACGCCCGGCCUGGACAGUGGGCCCUGCCAUUUGCAUAGUCCAGGCAGAAACCGGACCCCCGUCCACUUGGAAUCUCACAGAGGAGUCCCGCUCGGGAGCAGAUUGGACUGUUCCAUGCCUCCCUUCCAGGGCUGGGCUUCUCUGAUCCCAGGUGCUUCAUGAAGGUGCGGCAGCAAGCGAUGGCAGGGGCCGGGGGCCGGCAACUUUCAUUCCA
rnacentral:lncRNA from 1 species